rnacentral:rRNA from 1 species
GCUAGUAAUGGCAGGUCAGCAUACUGCCGUGAAUACGUUCCCGGGCCUUGUACACACCGCCCGUCACACCAUGAGAGUUGGGGAUACCCGAAGCCUGUGAGCUAACUUAAAGAGGCAGCAGUCGAAGGUAGAGCCAAUGAUUGGGGUGAAGUCGUAACAAGGUACC